rnacentral:tRNA from 1 species
GGAGAGCUGACAGAGUGGUAAUGUACGAGCCUGCUAAGCUUUGAUUGUCGUUAAUUCGGCACGAAGGUUCGAUCCCUUCGCUCUCCG